UACGUAGGUGACAAGCGUUGUCCGGAUUUACUGGGCGUAAAGAGCGCGCAGGCGGUCGUUCAAGUCGAGUGUGAAAGCCCCCGGCUACAACUGGGGAGGGUCAUUCGAUACUGAUCGACUCGAAGGCAGGAGAGGGUAGUGGAAUUCCCGGUGUAGUGGUGAAAUGCGUAGAUAUCGGGAGGAACACCAGUGGCGAAGGCGACUACCUGGCCUGUUCUUGACGCUGAGGCGCGAAAAGCUAGGGGAGCAAACGGGG
rnacentral:rRNA from 1 species